AUUGAACGCUGGCGGCAGGCCUAACACAUGCAAGUCGAACGAGUGGCGGACGGGUGAGUAAUGUCUGGGAAACUGCCUGAUGGAGGGGGAUAACUACUGGAAACGGUAGCUAAUACCGCAUACCAUCAGAUGUGCCCAGAUGGGAUUAGCUAGUAGGUGGGGUAACGGCUCACCUAGGCGACGAUCCCUAGCUGGUCUGAGAGGAUGACCAGCCAAGCUGGAACUGAGAAACGGUCCAGACUCCUACGGGAGGCAGCAGUGGGGAAUAGUGCACAAUGGGCGAAAGCCUGAUGCAGCCAUGCCGCGGGUGGGAAGAAGGCAUUAGGGUUGUAAAGCACUUUCAGCGGGGAGGCGUUACCCGCAGAAGAAGCACCGGCUAACUCCGUGCCAGCAGCCGCGGUAAUAC
rnacentral:rRNA from 1 species